ACGAAGGGGGCGAGCGUUGUUCGGAAUUACUGGGCGUAAAGCGCACGUAGGCGGACUAUUAAGUCAGGGGUGAAAUCCCGGGGCUCAACCCCGGAACUGCCUUUGAAACUGGUAGUCUAGAGUUCGAGAGAGGUGAGUGGAAUUCCGAGUGUAGAGGUGAAAUGCGUAGAUAUUCGGAGGAACACCAGUGGCGAAGGCGACUCACUGGCUCAUUGCUGACGCUGAGGAGCGAAAGCGUGGGGAGCAAAUAG
rnacentral:rRNA from 1 species